UCCAGCACGCCGCGUGAGUGAUGAAGGUUUUCGGAUCGUAAAGCUCUGUUGCUAGGGAAGAACGCUUUCCGUUCAAUCUGUUCCGUUUUUGACGGUACCCUCACCAUAAGCCCCGGCUAACUUCGUGCCCGCCGCCGCGGUAAUACCUAGGGUGCAAGCGUUGGUCGGAAUUUUUGGGCGUAAAGCGCGCGCAGGCGGUUUUCUUAGUUUGGUGUUUAAACCCCGGGCUCAACUCCGGGACGGAUCGCAAAAUGUGGGGAUUUUGUGCGGAAAAAAGGAGAGGGAAUUUCCGUGUGUCGGGGAAAUGUGUAUAGAUGUGGAGGAAAACCCCUGGGGAAAGCGACUUUCUGGGGUGUGUAUGACACUCAGGCGCGCAAACG
rnacentral:rRNA from 1 species